GAUCCCGUAGUGUAGUGGUUAGCACCUUGGACUUUGAAUCCAAUAACGCGAGUUCGAAUCUCGCCGGGAUCU
rnacentral:tRNA from 1 species